rnacentral:rRNA from 1 species
GACGAACGCUGGCGGCGUGCCUAAUACAUGCAAGUUGAGCGCUGAAGGUUGGUACUUGUACCAACUGGAUGAGCAGCGAACGGGUGAGUAACGCGUGGGGAAUCUGCCUUUGAGCGGGGGACAACAUUUGGAAACGAAUGCUAAUACCGCAUAAAAACUUUAAACACAAGUUUUAAGUUUGAAAGAUGCAAUUGCAUCACUCAAAGAUGAUCCCGCGUUGUAUUAGCUAGUUGGUGAGGUAAAGGCUCACCAAGGCGAUGAUACAUAGCCGACCUGAGAGGGUGAUCGGCCACAUUGGGACUGAGACACGGCCCAAACUCCUACGGGAGGCAGCAGUAGGGAAUCUUCGGCAAUGGACGAAAGUCUGACCGAGCAACGCCGCGUGAGUGAAGAAGGUUUUCGGAUCGUAAAACUCUGUUGGUAGAGAAGAACGUUGGUGAGAGUGGAAAGCUCAUCAAGUGACGGGACUACCCAGAAAGGGACGGCUAACUACGUG